rnacentral:rRNA from 1 species
GAUGAACGCUAGCGGCAGGCUUAACACAUGCAAGUCGAGGGGUAACAGAUCUAGCAAUAGGUGCUGACGACCGGCGCACGGGUGAGUAUCGCGUUUGCAAUCUACCUCUAACUGGGGGAUAGCCCGGAGAAAUUCGGAUUAAUACCUCAUAAUGACAUAAGAAGGCAUCUUUUUAUGUUUAAAGCUCAGGCGGUUAGAGAUGAGCAUGCGUACCAUUAGCUAGUUGGUGAGGUAACGGCUCACCAAGGCUACGAUGGUUAGGGGGUCUGAGAGGACGAUCCCCCACACUGGUACUGAGACACGGACCAGACUCCUACGGGAGGCAGCAGUGAGGAAUAUUGGGCAAUGGGCGCAAGCCUGACCCAGCCAUGCCGCGUGCAGGAUGAAGGCGCUAUGCGUUGUAAACUGCUUUUUUUCAGGAAGAAACCCAUCUACGUGUAGGUGGUUGACGGUACUGAAUGAAUAAGCAUCGGCUAACUCCGUGCCAGCAGCCGCAGUAACAC